GAUAGAUAACCUUGUUUCUGGUCAACCUCCUGUACCAAUGAUGUGGAAGAAUUACACUUGUGAUGAGGUGCCUAAAAGGAAGGAAUCUAACUAUAUGGAGGGUCUCUUUCCAAUACUGAAUUGUGAACCUAAUAACAAAAAUGAUCUCUUGCCAUUAGCUUCCAGAAAGAUCAUUCCAUAUGAAGAGGUCUAUCAACAUGGUUUCGAGACAUCUGGCAAUUCAAAUCCCUCCUGCAAGGAUAAUUAUGCCAAGAAGUCCCUUAGCGCUGUUGGUACACUUUUGGCUUCUAGUACAAAUAACUCCAACGACAUACAUUUGACUGAGGAUGCAAGCGCUAAGUUUAAGAAAGAAAAUCCAAAGGAUGGGCAAGAUUUGCAAAAUAAAGCAAUAAACACAGUAAAGAACAUGAAAACGGUGAAGUCAGUUUUCAUGAUUAACAAAAGUCCCUCCAUGAUAGUUUUAUGGGAACUGGUCUGAAAUUGAAGGAUCCAGAAAGUACCAGCUCAUCAAUUGAUUAUAGCACAGGCAGCGUUGAUACUCGAAUCUUUGACGAUGUAGAUGUAGGUGAAAGUGAAAUUCCAUGGAAAGACCUGGUUCUUGGUGAAAGAAUUGGACUAGAUCCAUCUUUUGCCACACUCUUGUCAUGUAAGGUGUGGAUAAUGCAUAGGCUGCACCAUCCAAAUGUUUUUCUAUUUAUGGGUGCUGUUACUCGUCCUCCAAAUCUUUCUAUUAUUUCUGAGUUUCUGCCAAGUAGAAGUCUUUAUAGGAUUCUUCAUUGUGCUCACUGCCAGAUUGAUGAAAAGCGUAGAAUAAAAAUGGCUCUCGAUGUGGCAAGAGGUAUGAACUGCCUGCACACCAGCAUACCGACAAUUGUUCACCGGGAUCUGAAAUCACCUAACCUUUUAGUUGAUAAAAACUGGACUGUCAAGGUUUGUGAUUUUGGGUUAUCACACUUAAAGCAUAAUACAUUUUUGUGGUCCAAAUCAACUGCUGGAACAGUACCAAAAAAAAUUGAUCAUGUAAAAAUUCAACAGGAGAAAGAAAAACUUAAAAGUAGGCACUGGAAAAAAGUAUAUAGAUGAGACUGAGAGUAAAACUGAAAUCAGAACUCUAGAAGUUGCCUCACUGGUAAAGCUACAUAAAAUGAAUUGAAGAAGUAGAAAAUAGAAAGAAUGAAAUUUUAAUUACUUAAUGCCCUAUAGUUUCAAAAAAAAUUAAUUAAUGCUCUACAGGAGAAUAAAGUUGAUAUAAAGAUUCAAAGGAGGAAGAAAAAGUCAAACGAGGCCAUUGAAAAUAGCUGGGAAUAAAACUGAAAUGAGAGCCACAGAGGUCUCUUCAUGAAUUAGGGCCAGACAAACUGAACGGAAAAAGAAGUUAAGAGGAAA